GACAAACGCUGGCGGCGUGCCUAACACAUGCAAGUCGAGCGCGAAAGGGACCUUCGGGUCCCCUGAGAGCGGCGAACGGGUGAGUAACACGUGGGCAACCUGCCUCAAGGACUGGGAUAACUCCGGGAAACCGGGGCUAAUACCGGGCGAUGUCGUCUGGCGCAAGCCGGCCGACCAAAUGGUUGCUUCGGCCUCCGCCUUGAGCUGGGCCCGCGUCCUAUCAGCUUGUUGGUGAGGUAACGGCUCACCAAGGCUACGACGGGUAGCGGGUCUGAGAGGAUGAUCAGCCACACUGGGACUGAGAUACGGCCCAGACUCCUACGGGAGGCAGCAGUGGGGAAUUUUGCGCAAUGGGCGAAAGCCUGACGCAGCAACGCCGCGUGAGCGAAGAAGGCCUUCGGGUUGUAAAGCUCUGUCAGGGGGAAAGAAGGCACCUGGGUUAAUAGCCCAAGGGCUGACGGUACCCCCAAAGGAAGCCACGGCUAACUACGU
rnacentral:rRNA from 1 species